rnacentral:rRNA from 1 species
UACGUAGGUGGCGAGCGUUAUCCGGAAUGAUUGGGCGUAAAGAGCGCGCAGGUGGUUAAUUAAGUCUGAUGUGAAAGCCCACGGCUUAACCGUGGAGGGUCAUUGGAAACUGGUUGACUUGAGUGCAGUAGAGGGAAGUGGAAUUCCAUGUGUAGCGGUGAAAUGCGUAGAGAUAUGGAGGAACACCAGUGGCGAAGGCGGCUUCCUGGUCUGCAACUGACACUGAGGCGCGAAAGCGUGGGGAGCAAACAGG